CCCCCCCCCACGGGCUCCGCGCCUCACGGGCAGGGGGGGUUAGCCCCUCCUCACACAUGCAGUACCUCCCGCCGGGCCCUGCCCCCCCCCACGGGCCCCGCGCGGCACGAGUCGCGGGGUUAACCCCCCUCCCCCACGCACUGCUCCGCGCCGCACGCGGGUUAACCCCCUCCCCCACACCGCCCCCUAUCGGGCCCUACAUCCCCCCCUCCCCGGGCUCCGCGUCCCACUGGGGCCAGAGGCCUUUAACUGCAGCUACCUCCCUUUAAGGGGAGGGAAGAGCAGAGAGGAGCCGAGACUCAGGGCGCCAGAGCGGGAGAGUGAGGGAGAGAGCCCGGGACGAGGGAGGCCUCUAACCCCCGAGGGGAAUGGGGGACAGGAUGGGGGUCAGUCCAGGAGAAGAGAAACAUCAGCUCCUACUUCUCACCCCAGAAGAGGACUCUGUAUUUGGGGGCUAACACAAAUUGAUUGGAGGACUCUCCAGGUGGUAACUUAUUUGGUAUGGGGGGUGGUGAGCAGCAGUAAUUGGAAGCCCAGGGUCUUGAGGCCCAAGCAGUGGACUGACCAUCAGUAGACAGAGGAUAAGGGAGUGUAGCUUGGGAGGUGCAUGGCUCUGAAUGGUUGUAUUUCAGCCUGAUGAUAAGGCUUAAUUCUUGACCUAAUAGGUAUCAGGAACAUUUUUUCAAGCCCUAUAUAUAGGGAAAAUAUAGGGAUAUUUGGGUUAAAAAUCUAUGCUGAAAAAUAAGUCAUUACCUCUUCUACAAAUUAUACUUUACGUUAUUAACAUCAAGAGAAAAUUUAAAAAUAUGACUUUCAACCAUUUACAUUUGUUCACAUUUUGCAGACUAGAGACUAGACUAGAGUCAGUUUCAGGUGUUUACAGUAACUUUUUUUGCUUUCAUGUGGUUUGCGUGGGCUGCUCCUAUGCGGCAGUGUUUCGAUUGCAAAUACUGUAAGGGAGUGUUUAAGUCCAAAUCUGAAAAAUAAAAAUGGUGUUUGGUGUCUCAAUAGGUACUUUAAUACCACCUUUGAACAUGUCUGCAUUGGGGGAAAAGGUUGUAUUUUUAACAUGUUAAAAUCCUAAUGUAGACAAUGUAAGUUGGGGUUUUAGUACAUUAAGUAGCAGAGGUAAACCUCAGGAAGGAGCCUAAAGUUUACCUCAUCCUGAUAACAUACUAAAAUUAUAAUUUGCUUGUCUACCCUAGGAUUAUAAUAUAUUUAAAAAAUCUUUUAAAUCUAUUUUUAGCAAAGGCAAGGCUUGAGAGGUUAGUUUCAGGGAGCACUCAGAAAAACUGAGGGCAUGGCUACACUUGCAGAUGUAGAGCAGUGUGAGUUAAAGCAGCCCUUGGAGGGCGCAGUAGGGAAAGCGCUGCAGUGGGUUCACACUGUCAGCUGCAAGCGCACUGGCGUGCAGGGCCGCCCGGGGUGGGGGGGGCAAGUGGGGCAAUUUGCCCCGGGCCCCGCAGGGGUCCCCUCGAGAGUUUUCAGGACCCCCCACGAGAGUUUUCAGCAGCACUUUUGCGGCAGGUCCUUCAGGACCGCUGAACACACCCGGAGUGAAGGACCUGCCACCAAAGACCCGCCACUGCUUCUUCCGCUCCGGGUCUUCGGCAGCAAUUUGGCAGCAGGGGUCCUUCCGCUCCAUUUCUUCAGUGAAGUGUGUCGGAGACCCAGAGCGGAGGGACCCCCGCUACCAAAGACCCCAGACCCCCUGAAUCCUCUGGGUGGCCCUGCUGGCGUGCCACAUUUGUGGUACUUGCAGCAGCAUUGGGAGUGGUGCAUUAUGGGCAGCUAUCCCACAGAGCACCUCUUCCCAUUCUGGCACUGUGGCUUGUGGGAAGGGGGCAGGACAUUCUGGGUCCUGUCCCAAUGCCCCGUGAUGCAUCGCUUUGCAUCCCAGCAAUCCCUGUGCUUCCGUCCACAUUUGGCACCAUCUUUCAAUGUUUUUUGUACUGCGCGCGCUGUCUUCCCUUUCAGUCUGCAGGAAUGGAUCCCAAAGUGCUGAGGAAUAUGCUGAUGGGACUCGCCAGCACAUCAUGAAUGGCAGUUGAGUUACUCCUUAAGCUACAAACUGACAGUGAGGAGUCCGAUGAUGAUGUCGGUUGCAUAAUACAUACGACACAAGAUUGCUUGUGGCAUUCACGGACAUGCUUACCGCAGUGGAACGCCACUUUUGGGCUCGGGAAACAAGCACUGAGUGGUGGGAUCACAUCGUCAUGCAAGUCUGGGAUGAUGAGCAGUGGUUGCAGAACUUUUGGAUGAGAAAAGCCACUUUCAUGGGACUCUGUGAUGAGCUUGCCCCCACCUUGCAGCGCAAGGACACAAGAUUGAGAGCUGCCCUGCCGGUGGAGAAGCAGAUGGCUAUUGCAAUCUGGAAGCUGGAAACUCCAGACAGCUGCCGAUUGGUUGCUAACCAGUCUGGAGUAUGAAAGUCAACCGUUGGAAUCAUUGAUGCAAGUUUGCAGGGCCAUAAAUCGCAUCCUGCUCAAAAGAACCAUGACUCUGGGUAAUGUGCAUGACAUUGUGGCUGGCUUUGCACAAAUGGGUUUCCCUAACUGCGGAGGGGCGAUAGGUGGGACGCAUAUUCUAAUUCUGGCACCAGCCCACCUAGCCUCUGAGUACGUUAAUCCCCAAGUGUUUGAUUGCCUUUUUUGGCUGUGUCUACACUAGGAAAUUUAGAUGAUGCUUUAGGGUCUGAACCUACAAACCUUACUGGGUUUGCCAACAGUAUGAUAAGAGGUGCUGUUUUAGAAUGUAUUAGAUAACAUGUAGGGCUGGUUGAAAACGGAAUUCUGUCCCAUGGGAAAGUUCAGUAUUUCAACAUUUUGUUUCAUCCCAGACUGAGACAGAGAGUAGAAAUCUUGAAAUUUGUCAUGAAACAAAAUAUUCUGAAAUAUUUCAGCUUUAGGAAAAUGUUUGUUUUGAUUUGGUCAAAAUGUUCCAACUUUAUCAUUUUGAUUUUUAUAUUAUAUUCAAUAAUACAAUGUAAAAGUUUAAACAAUCUAGUCAGAACAAAAUGUUUUGAUAAUAGGUAGUAUUUUAACACAUUAACAUGUUGUAGCCUACGCUUCCCCUGACCCUAUGGUUCACUUUGACCAGCUAACGCAUGUUAAAAUAUAACUUGCCCUGUUGAAUGUGUUUUGAAAAUACACUCUUUAUACCUGAUGUAGACAUGCCCCCUGAACUAGUAUUCAGUGGAACUUCUUGCUUCAGCAAUAGUUGUGUGAUUACAGGGUAUGUUUUAGCCCAAGUGUAGGAUUGGGCUCUUAAUUUCAUUUCAAAUGCAUGAUGUGACCAUAAGGUGCUCAGAUGCUGUGGUGAUCACCCUGGUAUAAGAACCUAGAUCGAAUAGAAUAUCAUGGUGCAUACUUUUAAAGAUUUCUUUGCUGGGUUAUUACAAAUCAAACAUUUCUUCUGUUCAGAACAUUUCUUCUGUUACUGGCUUUUCCCCCUUGGUUGCAGUAUAAAACUCUGUCAUCAUUUAUAAGAGCGCCUCCCACCAAUCACCUACCAUCGGCUAUUUUAAUUAACAAAAUCAAAGUUUGAGAGCUCCCACUCCUUGACAACAUCUCCAAUGUACUUGCCCUAAGCCAAAAAGUGAGUCAGUGCAAGACCCAGGGGUUCUUGCUGCUACUUUUAAGGCAGUGUUGCUGCCAUCUCUCUUUUUAAAAGAGCUCUUAUGUUUAAAUUUGAAAAUUUCGGAUAAAAUCUAUUAAAAAAACUAAAGAGCCAUAAGGAACAUAGAUGACAUUCAGUCUAGUUCAGGGAGCUUACACAAACCUCUCUGUGCCCCUUAUGUCCCACUUAAUACAGCACCUACAUGGGAUGUAAGUUUUGUUAUGGCCCUCUGGACUGAAAUGUAUUUCACCCAAUAACUGUUCAGGGAGUCUAAAUCUAAUGUCAUUGCAGCCUCAAGUUGCUGGAUGCCCCAAAGAAAUCAGUAGGGUUGUGCAGUUGUAACAGACAGCAGAAUCUGGCCCACGUUGUAUGUUCUCUUGAUAUGUUUCAGACACAUCGUGUUUUAUUAAGAUAAUAGGCCUGAUUCUCCUCUCAUAUGAGUGUAAAAUCAGAUGUAACUCCAGUAGGGUUACGCUGAUGUAAGCGAGAAGGGAAUGAAGCAUACCAAGUAUAGUAAUAGCUAAGGAGAAUGGAGGGUAGGGGGAAUUGCAACUGCUCAAACUCAAUAAAUUAAAACAUGCACCAAGCUGAAACAUUACAAAUGCAGAGUCUCAUUCCAGGGCAUGUGCUGUUAACAUGUUUUCAAAAAUGAAUCUGACCUCUUGGAAUCUAAAAUAAUAACAAGGGCCCAGAUUUCAGUCUUUUUCAUUUGAUUGUAUAACUCAGAAAUGGUUUGGAUUUUUUUAAAAUUGAUUUCAUUUCCAAGAAAAGGAAACCACAUUAACAACAACAAAAAAAGCCAAGACACUUUAGCUUAAAACUUGUUUGGCUGCACAUGCCUGGUAAAUUUUCUUCACAAAUGUGGAUAUUUUGAUUUUAUGGAUAGCAUAGGACCCAAUUUUGUAAUUACAGAAUAGAUUGGAAAGGCUGUUAGUAUAUUGUAAUGUGCAAUUAAGUACCUAAUUAAGUAAUUGCCUCCUAAUUCAAAGAGUCUCUUUUUGUGGAACUGUCUUAGAAAAAGUCCUGUCUAAAAAUAAAUAGAAACAGAGGAAAAUAAA